UAAUAUUAUUUUAAUUUAUAAAUAACUUAGAAGGUUUUAAAUUACUCCGGAUUAAAUUAUUAUUAUAAUACCGAACGCUUAGUAAAGCCGCUCGACCGGAAAUAUAUAUUAACACCCAUGUUAGCAAACGAACGCCAGUUUAAUUUAACACUAUAAAUAAGUCCGACAGUAGUUUGGGUUGCAUAAAUAAUAUUAGGGCUUAUAUUCUUAAGCCUUAAUAGCGAAUUAAAUUACUUAUGCGAGUGCCAACUUGUAACUUAUAUUAAUUAUCAAUUAGUAAACAUGAUAUAAAUAAACAUAUUUUAUCGCUGGUUAAAAUGUAUAUCAGAAUCCUAUUUUGUUAGUAAAAUAUUUUUUGUACGCCUUGAAAAAAUUUCAAGUGGUAAAAAUAACUUGGGGGUAUAUAUAAUUUAUUGCGAAAAAUUUUCAUUUACUACGGAAUAACGUGCCUGGGCAACUGCUAACUGUAACUAGUGUGAGGAUUAGACCACCAAACCUACCCUUAGAAUUACGCCCCAGUUCCACCAACUACACCGCUGGUAGGCACUAGCCACGCCGAGCCAGGGAUCGGAUAAGGGAUUUGUUUACCCCGGAUUUAAACGCGUCUCUCAAACGCGCCGUUAUUUGUAUUUUUUUUUCUCCAGUUUAAAAUUUUCGUUAAUAGCGCCUAAUAUAUUAAAGCUCUCCAAUAUAUGCCUGGCCGUAAUAUGAGGUACGCUUAUAUAAUUAUAAGAAUUCCCAAUUAAAUGAUUUGGUUUUUUCCUGUUAAAAAAGUAAUUUAUGUAUUUGCUUAACCACUUGGUAUUAGAUAGCGACAAAAUCACGCCUUAAACAACUGACAGUUUAUUUAAAUAUUAUUAAAUCGAAAUUCUACCCCAUUAAUUUUAAUAAUUACAAUUCGCCUCCCUGCUAAACUUUACCGCCUGGACAAUUUGGAUUUGAUAGUAAUUUCUCAGCGUUGCGGCAAAUAAAAACCCGAGAAGAAAUCUGGCCGUUAAAUAAGCGGAAACGUAAUUUUAAUAUUAAAAUCAAACCACCCUUGCUUCGCAAAAUAGACCGAGCGCUCCAUAUAAUUUACCAAUUAUAUAACCUUUUGGCGAAUUAUAUCGGCUGAUAAAAGUAAAGCCGGAAUAACGUCGUUUUGGGUAGAGGUUUUAAUAAUUAUUUUUAAUAACGACCUAGUCCACCCAUUAAAGCCCAGAGCGUUUUCCCGACCAAUAAAUAAAAUAGCUAAUAUAAUAACUUUUUCGGUAGUUUAUUUGCCUGGUAUUAGUUGGGAACGACUAUUAAAUACGUUAUAUUAUGCGAAUAGCUAAAUUAAUAAAAGCCCACGCAUAUAUAUAUGGCGACAAGGGGUGACUUUUCCCCCUACCAACAUUAUAUUAAUUCAUAAGAUUUACUUUUAUGCGGAUUAAUAUUAUGCGGAAAGAAUAUAUGUUCUACUAUAAAUAAGUGUUCAGAAAAUAUAAUAGUAUAUAUUAAAGGCGUAAUACCCCGCUACGAAUGAUAAUUUACUAUAGGCAAACCUUUCACGUACUUAUUAUAUAUAACCUCAAGUAUUUCUUUUCAAACAGACCUCCCAGCUUUUAUAGUAGGUUUCGUUAUAACCUUACGUUGAAAAUGCCUACUUUUCGAUUUUCGCUAGCAAUAUCUCUUUUUCUCUUGCUUUUACACCCGGUAUUAUCCGCGCUUCCUACAAUUAUUUACCGAACAGAUCCCAAAGCUCCUGAAAUUAUUUGGGCACGCGACGGCUUUUUAUGCCGACCCGAUUGGUAUGGGUUUGAAAAAGACGAAUGCAUGACCUACCACGACCAUCAUACUUGGCCAGAAGAUAUAAUUACGGCAAAUAAAGACCCUUGGAUAUCAACGUCGGCCGAUAAAGAAUUUGCAAUUUUUUGGGCCAAAACCAGAUUCGCCAAACUCGAAACUUAUGUUUAUACUAUAUCUACUAAGGGAAUUGAAGACAAAUGUCUCGAUAUCGAGGAGGCGUACAAAAAAGAUGGUAAAGAACCCAUUCAUUCGAACGAAAGAGAAAUCGCCGUAAAAAAUACAAUUCCUUGGGCAAACGUUAUAGGUUGGUAUAUUAUAAGGCCAGGCAGGCCUCCUAUUUGGACAGAGCGGCCGCUGUCCCUAAGUCCAUUAAAACCCAACGAUCCUCGCAAACAGCAUAUGGCAAAGACCCAGCCCCCACAAUACCGCCAUUGGAUUGAAACGUGGAAAGAGGAUACGGGUUCUAUUAAAGAUUGGAAAACCUGGGCGCCUGCCAAUUCCAAUACACAUUAGGGUUAGGUCGUGGUUUUGCGCUGGUUUCUCUCUUUUGGUAUUUAAACUUUUUGGUCAUGUCAAAUAGCCUCGAGGAAGUUAUUAUAAGGAACUUAGGGUAUGGGUUUUAAUUCCGUUUUUAUUUAUUCUAAGCUGUUUUGCUAUAUGUUUUGUCGUAUAAAGGAUAUAAAAUAAAAUAAAUAAUAAUCGGGAAAAUAAAACCGUCAAAAAGAAAAGAGGAAAAAAGAGAAAAAAUAUUUUAUAAAAGGAUAAUUGGUUGAAACGGUAAAACGUAAAAAAAUAUAAUAAGUAAAAAUUAGAACAAAUAUAAAAGCAAACAUAGAAGCAAAAUUUAGGGGUAGGGUUUUAAUUCGCGUUGUUGGAAUUGUUACGGCCAGGCAUAUAUUGGAGAACCUUAAUAUAUUAGACGUUAU
rnacentral:sRNA from 1 species